UACGUAGGUGGCAAGCGUUGUCCGGAAUCACUGGGCGUAAAGCGCGCGCAGGCGGCGAUCUACGUCUGGGGUGAAAGCCCGGAGCUCAACUCCGGGACUGCCUUGGAUACGGGAUCGCUUGAGGAUUGGAGAGGCAAGGGGAAUUCCACGUGUAGCGGUGAAAUGCGUAGAUAUGUGGAGGAACACCUGUGGCGAAGGCGCCUUGCUGGCCAAUUUCUGACGCUGAGGCGCGGAAGCGUGGGGAGCAAACAGG
rnacentral:rRNA from 1 species